AGAGUUUGAUCAUGGCUCAGGAUGAACGCUAGCUACAGGCUUAACACAUGCAAGUCGAGGGGAAACGACAUCGAAAGCUUGCUUUUGAUGGGCGUCGACCGGCGCACGGGUGAGUAACGCGUAUCCAACCUGCCCACCACUUGGGGAUAACCUUGCGAAAGUAAGACUAAUACCCAAUGACGUCUCUAGAAGACAUCUGAAGGAGAUUAAAGAUUUAUCGGUGAUAGAUGGGGAUGCGUCUGAUUAGCUUGUUGGCGGGGUAACGGCCACCAAGGCGACGAUCAGUAGGGGUUCUGAGAGGAAGGUCCCCCANAUUGGAACUGAGACACGGUCCAAACUCCGUACGGGAGGCA
rnacentral:rRNA from 1 species